rnacentral:lncRNA from 1 species
AAAGUGUAGUAGUAGCCUUUUAUUGUCACUAGUCACAAGUACCAGUGAAAUUAGCCAUCAAAUUAAUCCACUUUACUGGAACAAUAAUUAACAUUAGGAGUCACCAAUCAGCCAAUCUUUACAUAUUGCUGCUUCUCCAACCAGGUGAUGCCAUACAGAGAAGCAAUGUGCAUAUUUAAGAAUAAUAAAGUCUCUCCCAACUAAUAGAUAUCUAAUGCUAUUUAACUAAUAUCAUAUUGAUAAGAGCAGCAUGGAGUAUGUUUUUUUUUUUUACAAAACAUAUAACAUUUCCUAACAUCCCUGGCUGAAAUAAAAAAUAAAGCAACUCAACCCCGAUUUUUGAACUAAUGUUUUUCUGCUCAUGUAUUUAUCAGAGCAGUGUUCAGUGUUUUUACAGAAGAUUAAACUUUGCUUAAUGCUACUCUCCCGACGAGUGCUUGCAUCACUGGCAGUAGCAUCCUAACGGUCAGUGCCGGUGUUUCUUUUUAUAUGUUUUAGAUGGCGGUGCUUCAAUAAAUUAGAUUUAGAAUUGUUGGCGGUUGUAGACCUUUAUUGUAGGUUGUAGAAGUUUACAAUGGAUAACAAUGUUCUUUGCAUCUUAGACUGUGACACAAUAAUGGCGAUACUUAACAGCUGUUGAAAGAACACCUAUCCAACCGAUUCUCCAUUUUUCCUUGACUCCUCUGCCCUAUGCCUUUCAGAAUCCUGUGGGUAUAAUCACAUUCACUAAGUCCACCUUUUUUAACCGUUAGGGUUGAUUUGGGGUUGCAUUUAUUUUCACUUUGGGCUAAUUGCAUAUUAUAUAUUAUAUUUGUGUGUGUUCCAUGUCCAUUUAUAGGUUGGACAAGACUCAACCCAGACCAACUACCUCAAGAAGACGAGGAGAACUUCAUUCUAAAUUUGGUGCCGUGUGGUUCACCAUCCAGGGAACCAGCACACCAGGCUCCACCCAUCCAGGAACCAGCACACCAGGCUCCACCCAUCCAAGAACCAGCACACCAGGUCUCAGCUGUGCAGCCACCACUGCGGGGUCCACAGCAAUGUAAAAGACUACAAAAAAUCAAAGAUUGCCCUCACAGUCGGCUUGAAAUGUUCCCAGUCUGUGAAAUAAUAAAGACAAGGAAAAGAAAGGGGAGGACAGAACAUCUUUAUGACUGGCAGCCCUGCACAAUGUGGUAUGUUAAAUAGCUUUUGGUUAUGUAUGAUUACAUGCAUUUUAUUAUUGGGCUCUUGGAUCUAUCUGUGCCUGGAUCUCUCUGUACUGGCUGAAAGCAUUCACACACCAAUGUGUCCCUGAGCAAGAUACUUAACCCCUAGUUGCUCCAGAGGCGUGCGACCUUUGACAUAAACAGCAUUUGUAAGUCGCUUUGGAUAAAAGCAUCAGCUAAAUGAAUAAAUGUAAUGUAAUGUACUGUUUUAAUUUGUGGGGAUUGUUGACAAGCCAUUGUCUUGGGUAGAGAUUAUUAAAGAAAAAUUGUAGAUUGUAGUGCAAACAGUUUUUGUAUGCUGUUUACAAUUGUGAGGAAACUGAUAUGUUGUACUGUGCAUCCACAGCCAUAUGAAACCAAAAGUGAAAAGUUACGUUUCUGCUGUAAGUCUCUAGAAGAGGAAUGCAGUGAUUGGAGAUGUUUAUGGUAUAGUCAGAGGAAACAUCAGGGUUUCAGGGUUUGGCAAUUAGUACACUGUGAAUGGAUACAUUUAUUUGUCAGUUAGAGGAUUUAUUUUUAUUUUUCCACAACAUUUUUGACAUUUUAAGACCAUGUUUGGUCCACCUGACAGCUGUAUUGUGCCUAUCUACAUUUUUUUACACAAUUAUCUAGUUUUGUUUAUUUUUCCAUGAGCAACAGUUACUGUGAGAAACACUGACAUACCAUAAUGACUGUGAUGUUUUAUAUCUUGUUUUAAAGUAAUUUUGCGCACAUGGAAACCAGA